rnacentral:rRNA from 1 species
CCUACGGGUGGCAGCAGUGGGGAAUAUUGGACAAUGGGCGAAAGCCUGAUCCAGCCAUGCCGCGUGUGUGAAGAAGGCCUUCGGGUUGUAAAGCACUUUCAGUGGGGAAGAAAGCCUUGGGGCUAAUACCCUCGAGGAAGGACAUCACCCACAGAAGAAGCACCGGCUAACUCCGUGCCAGCAGCCGCGGUAAUACGGAGGGUGCGAGCGUUAAUCGGAAUUACUGGGCGUAAAGCGCGCGUAGGCGGUCUGAUAAGCCGGUUGUGAAAGCCCCGGGCUCAACCUGGGAACGGCAUCCGGAACUGUCAGGCUAGAGUGCGGGAGAGGAAGGUAGAAUGACCGGUGUAGCGGUGAAAUGCGUAGAGAUCGGGAGGAAUACCAGUGGCGAAGGCGGUCUUCUGGACUGACACUGACGCUGAGGUGCGAAAGCGUGGGUAGCAAACAGGAUUAGAUACCCUGGUAGUC